GACGAACGCUGGCGGCGUGCUUAACACAUGCAAGUCGAGCGGUAAGGCCCUUUCGGGGUACACGAGCGGCGAACGGGUGAGUAACACGUGGGUGACCUGCCCUCAGCUCUGGGAUAAGCCUGGGAAACCGGGUCUAAUACCGGAUAUGACUCCAUGACGCAUGUUGUGGGGUGGAAAGCCUUGUGCGGCUGAGGAUGGGCCCGCGGCCUAUCAGCUUGUUGGUGGGGUGAUGGCCUACCAAGGCGACGACGGUAGCCGGCCUGAGAGGGCGGCCGGCCACACUGGGACUGAGACACGGCCCAGACUCCUACGGGAGGCAGCAGUGGGGAAUCUUGCGCAAUGGGCGAAAGCCUGACGCAGCGACGCCGCGUGAGGGAUGACGGCCU
rnacentral:rRNA from 1 species